CCCAAUAUAUAUAUAUAUAUAUAUAUAUAAAGAGGGGGGGAAAGCCAUUAAAAAAAUAAGUAAAUGAUGCUAGACGUGUUUGAAAUUCAAACUUACAGAUUAAAAUGGCUUCUAUGAGUGACCCCUGAGUGACCCCUGGUUUGCCAAUCCCGAACGAUGCGCAGCUACCCAGGGCCGACGAGCCGCAAACACGGCGAAACACAUGUCCUCUGGUGCUGUCGCAUCGUUCAAUGAGUAUCUAUAUAUAUAUAUAUCCGCAAUCAAUGAAGAUCCUGGUGUACUGUCAACAGUUAGAAACUUAAACAAUUAGCUAUCCUCUGUCUCGCCCUGUCUUCUCUUUCAGAUAUGGCUGGAGGACAUCCCAGCACUACGGACAAUGCUAGGGAAAAACCCGUAGAUGACUUCGCCUUACAUGGACUAUUGAUGAAGCAACAGGGCCACGAGAACAACAACCUAAGGCCACUUAAGGCUCCCAGACACGAUGACCUGCAGCUCUGACUUCAGAAGAUCCCGGAACUUCACACCGGACAGCGACAAACGAACCUUCUAGAACUAGGAGAUCCACUUCACAGUGAGUUGAUAACCAGUGCUUGAGACCAUCUUCUGAAUGAAGCUCGAAACAGUCUCCAAUCAAUUUUUUCUCCAGUUUUCUCCCUAAAGCAGCCCUCCGAAUGCGGGAAACCUGUCUUCUCUCUGUCUUCUCUCUUACCACAAGCCUCCACUGUCCUAUCUUGGGGACUUCGUGUGCUGAUCUUUGGUUUAAUGAAGCCUUCAUCUCUGCCGAAGCAAUCUGCUGCAAGUCUCUCUCACUUAAUAGAUAAAAGUGCAUACUUUCAUCGUCCGCACAGGGAUCAAAAUUUCUUAGUCUCAGAAAUUUAUUCCGUCAUUUAUUGUAUACAUGUAUAUGACGCUAGGUUCUUCCAGAAUUCGAGGUAACUCGUUACUGUAACUAAGUUCCCUUUUUUUUUUGGUAACUUGUAACUGAACUCGGUACAGCUUGGGGGGACAACAGUUUACGGAACACCGGUGCGUCGCAUUUCUCCAUUGGAGCGACAGCCUAGCAGCAAACGGCAGCGGACAGACAUACUGGGAGAUGAACAGAAUAGCUGAUCACCCGUUUCUUAUUCAAUCUCUUCCUUAUGGCUAGCAGGAGGCCGCUCCGAUGACGAAACACGCCAGUGCCGUGUUCCGUAAACUUUUGUCCCGAGCUGUACUUUUGUGCCGUGGUAAUUUUCAGAGGAACUUGUUUCUUUUUCAUGUAACUUUGUCAAAGUAACCUUAGUUAAGUUCAAAGUUACUUUUAACUCUCUUCUCACUUACGUCCACAUAUUAUCGUGAGAGGGCUGGGUUCCACAAACGGGCACUUGUUCGCUGCCUCCCAUUGAAAGAAAACUAGGACCGAAGGUCCCGUCCCUUUAAGGGACCAUUCUAAUCCCCUCAAGACCGUGGCUUUCUGGUGCAACCUUGUUCACCUCUAGCUUCGAGCGUAGUUCAAUUCUACUUAAUUUGUGGAGCUGUCGAACACUAUGACGUCAUUUGUUUACAAACAGGGAGAGGUCCAUUGUUGGAUAUAAACGAAAACGAUCUGAGCGUGUUGCGCCCCUCCGUAGGCAACUCAAGGUCUAACUCAACUACUCACGCACGCUGCACCUGCGUAAUGCUAUUUUGUGUCCGAAGUAACUUAGAAGUAACUCGUUCCAUUUUUUAAGCAACUCGGUAACUGCGAGUUACAGUUAAGGUUGAAGAAGUUUGUUAUUAACUUUCACACGGUAACUUAGCUUGUUACAAGUUCCUUUUGACGUUCCUUAACUUAUCGAUCAAUGUGUUCUUCAUAUUUAUCCUCGUUGAAUACUGAAUGUGUACAACGCACUAACAAACUUUUUAUGAAGCCCUACACAUUGUUGGAAAUUCCUGUGACGUUUUUCCGUGGAUGACGGACACAUCCAACGUCUUCGAUCAUAGUAACACGUUUGCUCACACACGGUCUACUUUACUCCAUCUGCUGUGCAAGUCUGAUUUUGCACGCCAGGCAGGGAGUGCCAUUUCCGUAGCAUAGUUUCCCUGUAUUGUGUUCUGUAUGUGCCUUCACAUUUGGAGCACAUCAUUUUGCUCAGAUAACAUCCUAGCUACCUGCAGUAAUUGGCUCUGUGCAACAGACAAGAGCACCACUGCUGCUGUCUUUGGGGGAGCUUUUUCCCUUUCCUUUCCCGUUUCACACUGAACUGCCCAGCCACUUAUUCUGGAUUCCAGUGUGUCGUGUUCAAGCGAACAUUUAUUUAUUUCGUUCAUGGAAUAAAAGUGUGAGUCAUUAAUACUGUGGUGCACAAACAACUACAGACUUUUUGAGCAGGCUAUCAUGUGUCAUCCAUUUAGAUUUGCUGUCAUAUCGUCUCUGUUUUGGGUGACGUAGUAAAACACUUGUAGCUCAUUGCUCUAUGGUCAUAAAUUUGGCUGAUCCUAAGCAGAAAACAUUCAAUUUAUGGUAUCGUGCAACCAGCCCCUACGAAACAGUUUCGAGCUUUUGUUUCAGGACUGUUCCUUUUUCUUUUCUUUGAUAUAUCUGUGUUUAGGCACUUCAGUUCAUAGUUUAGUGUCAUUUUUGGAAAACGUAGAGUAACCUCUUUUGCAUUAUUGUGUAGUACUCACGUUGAUACUAAAGGACAUGUGCCUUCUU